UACGACGGAGCACGUGAAAUUCCGUCGGAAUCUGGGAGGACCAUCUCCUAAGGCUAAAUACUCUCUAGUGACCGAUAGUGAACCAGUACCGUGAGGGAAAGGUGAAAAGCACCCCGGAAGGGGAGUGAAAUAGAACCUGAAACCGUGUGCUUACAAGUAGUCAGAGCCCGUUAAUGGGUGAUGGCGUGCCUUUUGUAGAAUGAACCGGCGAGUUACGAUUUGAUGCAAGGUUAAGCAGUAAAUGUGGAGCCGUAGCGAAAGCGAGUCUGAAUAGGGCGUUUAGUAUUUGGUCGUAGACCCGAAACCAGGUGAUCUACCCUUGGUCAGGUUGAAGUUCAGGUAACACUGAAUGGAGGACCGAACCGACUUACGUUGAAAAGUGAGCGGAUGAACUGAGGGUAGCGGAGAAAUUCCAAUCGAACCUGGAGAUAGCUGGUUCUCUCCGAAAUAGCUUUAGGGCUAGCCUCAAGUGAUGAUUAUUGGAGGUAGAGCACUGUUUGGACGAGGGGCCCCUCUCGGGUUACCGAAUUCAGACAAACUCCGAAUGCCAAUUAAUUUAACUUGGGAGUCAGAACAUGGGUGAUAAGGUCCGUGUUCGAAAGGGAAACAGCCCAGACCACCAGCUAAGGUCCCAAAAUAUAUGUUAAGUGGAAAAGGAUGUGGCGUUGCCCAGACAACUAGGAUGUUGGCUUAGAAGCAGCCAUCAUUUAAAGAGUGCGUAAUAGCUCACUAGUCGAGUGACACUGCGCCGAAAAUGUACCGGGGCUAAACAUAUUACCGAAGCUGUGGAUUGUCCUUUGGACAAUGGUAGGAGAGCGUUCUAAGGGCGUUGAAGCAUGAUCGUAAGGACAUGUGGAGCGCUUAGAAGUGAGAAUGCCGGUGUGAGUAGCGAAAGACGGGUGAGAAUCCCGUCCACCGAUUGACUAAGGUUUCCAGAGGAAGGCUCGUCCGCUCUGGGUUAGUCGGGUCCUAAGCUGAGGCCGACAGGCGUAGGCGAUGGAUAACAGGUUGAUAUUCCUGUACCACCUAUAAUCGUUUUAAUCGAUGGGGGGACGCAGUAGGAUAGGCGAAGCGUGCGAUUGGAUUGCACGUCUAAGCAGUAAGGCUGAGUAUUAGGCAAAUCCGGUACUCGUUAAGGCUGAGCUGUGAUGGGGAGAAGACAUUG
rnacentral:rRNA from 1 species